UGAGUAAUAUUGGUCAAUGGGCGGGAGCCUGAACCAGCCAAGCCGCGUGAAGGAAGAAGGCGCCAGGCGUCGUAAACUUCUUUUGUCGGGGAACAAAGGGCGCCACGCGUGGCGUUGUGAGUGUACCCGAAGAAAAAGCAUCGGCUAACUCCGUGCC
rnacentral:rRNA from 1 species